ensembl:lncRNA
UGAAGUUUACCCAGCUGUUUUAGUUUACAUACAUGUAGUUUUAUCUUUCUUGUAUCCUUUUUUAGCUUUUAGAAGCACUUAUGAACCAAAGAGCAUCUCGGCUGCAGAAGAGGGGACUUUGCGCUCUGCCACCAGCGGUGCUGCUGUGCCUCUGGCACGCACCAGCGCCACGGCAAAGUCAUCAGGGUCUCCAGCCAGCAGCAGUGUCCCCAGAGCCACCUCCAGCACCGAUGCGACCGGCUCCUCAGGCGGGACCUCGUCCUCCACUGCAGCUCGGGGACCCGGCGUGAGAGGCUCGUGGGAUGCCACGAACGUCACAGCACCUUCCACAGACCCGGCGCUCGCAAGCUCGCACUCUGCCUUGGGAAGCACUUUCACAGGUGUCAGAAGCAGCCACCGACCAACUAACAGCGCAGCCACAGAGAAAAGAGCUGCUGAUUCCUCUACCACCAGCGCCUACGUUUCAGCCACAGCCACCGGCACGGGAGGAAGGACACUGAGGUCCCUAACAAAUAGCAGCAGAUGGGCAGUAGAAGUCUCUACUUCUGGCAGUGGCACGUCCCAGGCUGUAGGUACAAGCCAAUCCUCAUCUGUGUCUUCCGUAAGAGAGACCUACGGAGUUAACGGGUCAAGAGCCAUCACAGAUGUCACCGAACCUUUAGCAGACCCUUCGCUAACAUAUUCUCACUCUCCUUUGGAAAUGCCUUCCACAGCUACUAGAAGCAGCCAUGUGUCAUUCAGCAUCCCAUCAACAGAGAAAAGAACUGAUUUUCCUACCACCAGUACGUACGUUUCGACACCAUCCACCAGAGGUGGAGGAAGGACAUUAAGGUCGCUACCAAGCAGCACCAGCCUGACCGAUGCGACAGAGAUUUCCACUUCCAGAACCGAAAUGAUCCACCCUUUGGAUCGGACCCAGUCGUCUGGGACAUCUUUGGCAGCAGAGGCUGGUGGUGAUGCAGGUGCCACCGUGCUGUUCACGGACCCGUUGCUCUUGGACUCUGCAUCUGCUUCAGCAAGCACUUCCCCAGGAACUAUGAUCUCGGCUACGGAAAAAAGCAUGUCUGACCCUCCUCUCACCAGUGCGCCCAGYGCAGUGACGGCUACCAGAGGUGCGGAAGGGACUGUGGAGCCUGUGGCCAACAUCAGCGCAGCGACCGGUGCUGCAGAAAGCAGCACGUCCUUGGAUCUGAUCCAUCUGUCAUCUUCUGUAACGGAGGCUGAAAGGCAGCCUAAUAUUUCACAGAAGAGAGAAAAAGGGGUUUCCGGCGUUCCUACCGAGAGCACGUACAUCUCAACCGCCUUCUCCACGCGCGGAGAGGGGACCUCUCAGGCUCCCAUUGACCGCAGCACGUGGAGCGAGGUGACGGAAAGCUCCACUUCUCGCCCAGACGUGGCCGGGGAGUCGCGCUCCAGCCCCUUCCCGUCCGCAACAGCAUGGCCUGGAGGAGGGCCCGUCUCAUCCAGCGAUUCAGGUUAUACCGAGCCCUCGGCCGAGGUCACACUUUCAUCCCGGGCCUCCACCGAAUUCUCUGCCCCACGUAAACCUUCCAGUGAGUUUUUCUGAAUGCCAAAAUCACUGUUGAAUUAGAAAAAAAGCAUUCACUCCCACU